rnacentral:rRNA from 1 species
UACGUAGGCAGCAAGCGUUGUUCGGAGUUACUGGGCGUAAAGGGUGUGUAGGCGGUUGGAUAAGUGUGGUGUGAAAUCUCCCGGCUCAACUGGGAGGGUGCGCUACAAACUGUCUGACUAGAGUAUGGCAGAGGGGGGUAGAAUUCCACGUGUAGCAGUGAAAUGCGUAGAGAUGUGGAGGAAUACCGAUGGCGAAGGCAGCCCCCUGGGCCAAUACUGACGCUCAUGCACGAAAGCGUGGGGGAGCAAACAGG